AUAGGUAGCUUAGUCGGUUAGGGGUCUUGACUCAUAACCUGAAGUUACAGGGUUCGAAUCCCGCUGU
rnacentral:tRNA from 1 species